rnacentral:rRNA from 1 species
AGCUCCAAUAGCGUAUAUUUAAGUUGUUGCAGUUAAAAAGCUCGUAGUCGGAUUUUGGCUGAGAACGGUCGGUCCGCCGUUAGGUGUGCACUGACUGGUCUCAGCUUCCUGGUGAGGAGGUGUGCUUCACGGCCACUUAGUCACCGUGGUUACUUUGAAAAAAUUAGAGUGUUCAAAGCGGGCUUACGCUUGAAUAUAUUAGCAUGGAAUAACACCAUAGGACUCCUGUCCUAUUUCGUUGGUCUCGGGACGGGAGUAAUGAUUAAGAGGAACAGUUGGGGGCAUUCGUAUUUCAUUGUCAGAGGUGAAAUUCUUGGAUUUAUGAAAGACGAACUUCUGCGAAAGCAUUUGCCAAGGAUGUUUUCAUUG